rnacentral:sRNA from 1 species
GGAAGAAUUGAAGAGAACCACAGAAAAAUUGGAACGUGUUUUGGCUGAAAGGAAUUUGUUCCAGCAAAAGGUGGAGGAGCUGGAACAGGAGAGGAAUCACUGGCAGUCUGAAUUCAAGAAAGUCCAACAUGAAUUGGUGAUCUACAGUACCCAGGAGGCAGAAGGCUUGUACUGGAGCAAGAAACACAUGGGUUAUCGCCAAGCUGAAUUCCAGAUUCUGAAAGCUGAGCUGGAAAGAACCAAAGAGGAAAAGCAAGAGUUAAAAGAGAAACUGAAGGAAACAGAGACACACCUGGAAAUGCUGCAGAAGGCUCAGGUCUCCUACCGGACCCCAGAGGGAGAUGACCUAGAAAGGUUAAUUACUAGGGUUUAGUUAUCAGCUUGUGAGUGCUAAUGGGAAGCAUCCCUUAGGACCCCCACUUACUGGCCAUAGACAAAGGAGGAAGCCUUAAUUCACAGGCCACCAAGAAUUGAGUAAUGACUUAUUAGAAAGCUGCAGCCAGUCUCCCUGUGCUUGGUGGCGUUGUGCUUUCUUCUUUCUAGCUAAUGAAAACAUAACUGUUGAGAAAUGUGGUUCCAUUUUGAAGGGGCUUCAUUUUAUUCUGUUGGUUAAUGACUUCAUGUCAUCUCUUCUCCUGCCCCCUCACUCCUUCAUACAGGGCUUUGGCAAAGCUUACGCGGCUACGUAUCCACGUCAGCUAUCUCCUUACUUCUGUCCUCCCUCACUUGGAGCUUCGUGAGAUCGGGUAUGACUCAGAACAAGUGGAUGGGAUCCUGUACACGGUGCUGGAGGCAAAUCACAUACUGGAUUGAGCACCAGACUGUAUA